rnacentral:rRNA from 1 species
AGCGAACGCUGGCGGCAGGCUUAACACAUGCAAGUUGAACGCAUCCUUCGGGGUGAGUGGCAGACGGGUGAGUAACACGUGGGAACAUACCUUUUGGUUCGGAAUAACUCAUGGAAACGUGAGCUAAUACCGGAUAAGCCCUUUUGGGGAAAGAUUUAUUGCCGAAAGAUUGGCCUGCGUCUGAUUAGCUAGUUGGUGAGGUAAUGGCUCACCAAGGCGACGAUCAGUAGCUGGUCUGAGAGGAUGAUCAGCCACACUGGGACUGAGACACGGCCCAGACUCCUACGGGAGGCAGCAGUGGGGAAUAUUGGACAAUGGGCGCAAGCCUGAUCCAGCCAUGCCGCGUGAGUGAUGAAGGCCUUAGGGUUGUAAAGCUCUUUUAUCCGGGAAGAUAAUGACUGUACCGGAAGAAUAAGCCCCGGCUAACUUCGUGCCAGCAGCCGCUGUAA